ensembl:sense_overlapping Gm29506 predicted gene 29506
CUUGCUGGGUGAAACAUCCACUUGGAUCAUAAGGGACAAAUUAAGAGACUCCUUCCCUAAAGGCUGAGCAUACAAAUGGAGGAGAAACCCUGCCACCCACAGGAUUCCAAGAAGAUGACAGUGUAUGACCUCACUGUGGACUUUCCCCACCUCUUUGUCCAAACACCUUGUUGAUGCUAUAGACAGGCCGAUUUGUAUGCCUACACAGAGGUAAGGAGAGAAACCAGGAGAAUAUCAAAAGAAACUCGAUCUACACAAAAGGAUCUACCUCUAAUUUGCAGACUGUUCUAGUUCAUCCCUUAAAUAAGGAAUAUCAUUAUUUUGGCUCUGCGCAUCCUUCCUGCUUUGACAAACCCUUUCCAGUUCAUCUGACUGCUGUUAAGCGGAUGAUCCAUGACUCUCCUGCAGGUAUCUUCAGGAAACUUGGACUGGUUUAAGCAGCCUGAAAAUGCGCUUGUCAGGAGUCUUGGUAUUCUGCCUGGACUCCACCCCCACAAUUACCUGGCAACAGCCAGGUAUGCUCUGCCCCACAGUUACCUGGCAACAGCCAAGUAGGCCUGGCCCACUAUAAAAAGGGUUGCAUGACCCCUCCUCUCUCUGUUACUCCUGCUUCUCUCCCUUGCCUCUUGCCCUCUUGCUCCUCUCUUGCCCCAUUCCCUUCCCCCAUCUCUCCGCGUGGUCAUGGCCAGUCUCUACUUCUCUCCCCUUCUCUCUGCCCUUCUCUCUGCCUCUACUAUGCUCUCAACUUCCCGAUCCAUGCCCUGAAUAAACUCUAUUCUAUACUAUACAAUCGUGUGGCUGGUCCCUCAGGGAGAAGGGAUGCCUUGACUUGGGCCUGCUGAGGCAUCCUCUUCCCCCACACCUCACCACACCCCCAUAGAACAUAUUCCUAUACCUUUAUCUUUUUAUAAACACAUUGAGGAGAGCAGCCUCAGUAUCAUGACCCUGUACUGUGGGAAGAGAACACCCUUGGAAGGACCAGCACUCAAGGAGAAAAAGCUGGGAGUGAUGCACUGCCUCACUCACAUGAGGAUGAUGAUCUGAUGACCGCAGCUAAUACUGUAAACAACUUGUCCCCAGUAGGACCCACACCUUUCAGACUUAGCAUUCUGUAUUGUAUCUAAUAAUUAUUGUCUAAUUAUUGUCAAGCACACUCCUGAAAGAAAUAUCCUAGCAAAAGGCAUCUCAUCUUUACUUAUUAUCAUCAGAUUAUUAAAUACAGGUUUAGGGUUUUCCUAUUUCCCAAAGAAAAGAUAAUAGUUAAAGAGUCCAGAAAUUGUCUAUAGUUCUUGUGCUCGUGAGGAUUCAAAAUAAACCUAGUAUUUUAGCAGCCUUAAAUUCAGAGGGCGAUGUUAACAUGAAUUCAGUUACAGAUUCAUUCAUAUAUGCAAUAAAUAUGGAACUAUUUAUGAAACAGAUAUUCAUUUACUGCAGUUUAUUUUGUUGAAAAAUACAAAUAUACUAUGGUAUAAGGUAAACAUUUGUCUAUAAAUUAACAUAAAACAAGUUUAGAUUGUAAGUUGAGUGUUAAUGGCUAUAACCAACACAAAAGGAAUUGAAAGAAUAACACUUUAAACAGUUUUUAAAUAUAAAUAAACAACGAAAACAAAUAUAAUUUAGAAAAUGAAAAAACAAAUUGUAUUAGGUCUUAGCAAAAUUCAUUUGUUUUUAUAUUAUUAUUAUUUUUUUUUGCUGGUGAUCUAUUAAUUCGACUAAAGGCACAGUUUUGUUUCUUAAUUUUCCCUGUCUAUAUUGUAUUUGCUAUCAGAUCAUAUUUUACUCAACAUCUAAUUAAAAGAGUCUAUUUUAUCUCUUCCUUUUUAAUUAUUUAAUAUUCUCUGUUCACAUUAUCUUGUUUGUUUAAUUUCAUUUUCUAAAUGGCUCUGCUACCCAGAGAUAAAAAUGAUUUUGUAUUUAGCCUUCUGCUCAAUUCACUUAUUAAUUAUAAUAGUUUGUGAAUUCUUUUGAAUUUUCUAUACUUAUAAAACUAUGUGGAAUGAUAAGGAAAUUGCUUUCAUUCGAAUUUAUAGGAUUUUAACUUCUUGUUAAUCUUAUUGCACUAAUUAGGACACCAAUUUUUUUGUCAAAUAAACGUGGUAGCAUC